rnacentral:RNase_P_RNA from 1 species
CGUGGCGGUCGGGUGGCCGCUCCCGCCGCGGUGGUCACACGGCGGCGGGGGAGGAAAGUCCGGGCUCCACGAAGACACGGUGCCGGGUAACGCCCGGCGGGGGCGACCCUAGGGAAAGUGCCACAGAAAGCAGACCGCCCGCCGGAGUAUCCGACCUUCGGGUCGCGUACGCGCGGGCAAGGGUGAAAGGGUGCGGUAAGAGCGCACCGCGCCGGUGGCGACAUCGGCGGCACGGCAAACCCCACCGGGAGCAAGACCGUGUAGGGACGACGGCACCUUCGUGGUGCACCUGGGUCUUCGCAGGGGGCGUCCGGGUAGGUCGCGCGAGGCGGUCGGUGACGGCCGUCCCAGAGGAAUGGUCACCACCCGAGCGGGUCUCGGGACAGAACCCGGCUUACAGACCGCCCGCACC